GGAAAUAUUGCAACAACGAGUAGUAGAUACCUGUCGUUUAGAAUAUACACUCCUGGUGUCACGGACAGCCCUCUAUGCAGAGGUUGCCUGGGGACAGAGGAAACAGCCGAAAAUGCAGUGAGGUGGCAAAGUACAGGGCGAAGCACCUGAGGUCACCAGGCGCUCUUCGGGAAGUCUUCCACGACGUUAAGAGGUUGGGUGACUUUUUGGAGGAGCUUGGCUGGUUGGUGUAGCCUCUACCAUCCUCGCACGCAAAAUAGGCGCAUAUGACGUCGAGUUGCGGAAAGCGCCCGUAUGAAGAAGAAGAAGAAGAACAGCAUGCUUAGAAAUUGGACCUAGACUUCUGAGGUCAGCCGGAAUUAAGUCACACUUGCCUGUCAGAGGCCCCUUCUGGCCAAUUCAUGCCAUAGCUCGAGUUGAUUUUGCUCGCAAUCAUGACAAUUAUUGGAACGAAGCUGGGAGUCUAGUUCUAUUCAUAGAUGAGUCCAUUUAGCCUUAAGCCAGAUGAUAGAAGAUAUAAAGCGUGGAGACGCCCGAGAGAGAGUUACGCACAGUGGACAGUGGUUGAGAGUCAGUUUAUGGUAUGGGGAAGUAUUGUUAUUUAAAAUAAAUACAUAAUAAGUAAAAACCAAAAUAAUAAACUUAAUUGUCGAAAAUA